rnacentral:rRNA from 1 species
CCGCGUGAGUGAAGAAGGCCUUCGGGUUGUAAAGCUCUUUUGUCAGGGAAGAAACGGCUGUGGCUAAUAUCCACGGCUAAUGACGGUACCUGAAGAAUAAGCACCGGCUAACUACGUGCCAGCAGCCGCGGUAAUACGUAGGGUGCAAGCGUUAAUCGGAAUUACUGGGCGUAAAGCGUGCGCAGGCGGUUUUGUAAGUCUGACGUGAAAUCCCCGGGCUCACCUGGGAAUGCGUUGGAAAUGCAGGGUAGAAUCUGGAGAAGGGGGG